UUUUUUAAACUUAUAUAUUGGUUAAAAUUUAUUGAGUGAUUUCGAUUCUGCACUAUAAAUAAAGUAAAGGGUGAAAAAUAAGGCAAUACAAAUAGAAUAUGCUCAAUCUCUACCUCUUAUAUAUAAGUUGAGACAUUAUACAAAUAUAAACUGCAGUGUACAAAACAUUAAUAUGACACAAUACAAUAGAAAUUGAGAUACUGUAUCAAGCAAGUAAAAUGAAAAUUGUGUCUAUCAUAGAUCAGGCUUUAGCUGACCUUCCACAAACUCUAGAGUUUCCUUGUAGUAUGAGAACUGGUACUUGUAUUAAACUGAUUUCAUGCUUUUCUACUUGUAUAUGGCACAUUAUGUGCGCCAAUUACUUGGUAUUGGGUAUAAAGUCCCGACCAAUUUUGAGUAUAACUUUCGGUGGCCUUUUUAAGUUGAAAUAAGUUGCUCUUCUAUGAGUCUUAAACAAUGCUGCAAUUGAUUUGUUGUACAAUUGUACAUGUCAGCAACUUGAUAUAAAGCAAUUAUAUAAAUAUAAAAGAAGCUUCUUCAAGAACAUAAGUAUAUAAGUAUAUUUAAAUUUCUUGGAAUGUGGUGUUGCAUUAGUUUAGCAAAAUAUAAAGUGCAUCCAGUUCUAUGUACAACAGAAAUUUAAUUAGUAAGCUAUCUGUGUAUAAGAGGCAUAAUUGACUAUAUCAAAGUUAUAAUACUAC
rnacentral:lncRNA from 1 species